GCCUUCGUGGUGUAAUGGUCAGCACACUCGGCGCGUAUUCGAGAGGUCCGAGGUUCGAGUCCCGGCGAGGAAA
rnacentral:tRNA from 1 species